CCUACGGGAGGCAGCAGUGAGGAAUAUUGGUCAAUGGGCGGAAGCCUGAACCAGCCAAGUCGCGUGAGGGAUUAAGGCCCUGCGGGUCGUAAACCUCUUUUGCCGGGGAGCAGUGGUCCGGACGCGUCCGGACCGGGAGAGUACCCGGAGAAAAAGCAUCGGCUAACUCCGUGCCAGCAGCCGCGGUAAUACGUAGGGAGCAAGCGUUGUCCGGAAUUACUGGGCGUAAAGGGCGCGUAGGUGGGCGCUUAAGUCAGGUGUGAAAACUCCGGGCUCAACCUGGAGACUGCACUUGAAACUGGGUGUCUUGAGGGCAGGAGAGGAAAGUGGAAUGCCUAGUGUAGCGGUGAAAUGCGUAGAUAUUAGGAGGAACACCAGUGGCGAAGGCGACUUUCUGGACUGUACCUGACGCUGAGGCGCGAAAGCGUGGGUAGCGAACGGGAUUAGAUACCCCUGUAGUC
rnacentral:rRNA from 1 species